rnacentral:misc_RNA from 1 species
AAAAAAAUUGAUGGGACUAUAAAUUUGGUUACAAGAAGAAUGAGAAAAAUAAAACAUUCAGAAGCCUUAAAACUGGGUUGAUUCUUUUAGGGGUGGAUGUUUGCAUCCUUUGAAAAUUGAUGAUGAGUGUGAUGCUGGUCAAACUUGUAUGAGCACCUAUGUGGGUGUCUGAUUGGAUUUUUAGUAUUCAGAUAAGAAAGCUCCUAUGAUGUUAUCAAUGAUGAAGGCAAGCCAAAUGAUGUUAGCAGUUUCAUGCUUUGGGCUGAUAAAUUGCUUUGGUAUGGGAGCUAACAGUUGAUUCUCGAGUGGCAAAAUAAUUUAGGAAGGUGUGUUGGCUUGCUUAGGUUGCAUGUCAUGGUGGAAUAUUGGGUUUUUAGAGCUUAGUAUGGUGAAGAGCUUGUUUCAAAAGAAUAAAACUUUUAAAGUUGUUAAAUUUUAUGAUCUUCCAUGCGAGAUAUUGGAAUCUUUCUCAUCCUAGCUUGUUUUCUGUUUUGGGAAUGG